rnacentral:rRNA from 1 species
AACGAACGCUGGCGGCAUGCCUAACACAUGCAAGUCGAACGGGACCUUCGGGUCUGGUGGCGCACGGGUGCGUACCGGGUGGGAACCUGCCCUUAGGUUCGCAAUAACUCGCCGAAAGGGGUGCUAAUACCGGCUAAUAUCUCCGAACCAAAGAUUUAUCGACCUUGGAUGGGCCCGCGUUGGAUUAGUUGGUUAGUAGGGUAAAAGCCUACCAAGGCGACGAUGCAUAGCUGGUCUGAGAGGAUGAUCAGCCACACUGGGAGUGAGACACGGCCCAGACUCCUACGGGAGGCAGCAGUGGGGAAUAUUGGAAAGUGGGGGAAAGCCUGAUCCAGCAAUGCCGCGUGAGUGAUGAAGGCCUUAGGGUUGUAAAGCUCUUUUACCCGGGAUGAUAAUGACAGUACCGGGAGAAUAAGCUCCGGCUAACUCCGUG